AUCUUAUUUAGAUUCAUGAAAGAAAAAGCGAACGCUGCUACGUUUCCCGAGGAAUACAUUAAAAUACGCAACCAACCGUCCAAUCAGAUGAAAGAGGUACGUACCCUAUCGUUGGGUAUUGUGCAAUCACGUGAUGCUCAUGUCGUAUGACGGUUAAAUCUUUGGUUAGAAUUUUUGUUGUUGUUUUUACCUGUUUUUACAGUUUUUACUUUAUUUUUCUAUUUACAUCAGAUUUAUAUUUUGUAAUUGCCUAUCAGACAAUACGUAUUUAGAAAAAUAAUAAGAAUUAGGAUCGUGUUUUUUUUAAAUCCUGGAUAUUAAUUGGAACCCUUGAUAACAUUACUGCUUUUGAUAUAAAAAGUGCAUUUUUGAUUAUUUACUUGGGCUAGGAUAUUAAAAUAUCGGUUGGAUUGUACGACAUAAAUAGAUGUAGUUUUUGAUCAGACAUUUUAUUUUAUUUGUGAAAUGCCCACAAAAAAGCUUCCAAUGAUUCAACAUCAGUGUGUUUGCUGCAUAAUGGAUCAUUCCUGCUGAAUUUUUAGAUCAUUUGAAGACUACACG
rnacentral:lncRNA from 1 species